rnacentral:rRNA from 1 species
UGAACGCUGGCGGCAUGCCUUACACAUGCAAGUCGAACGGCAGCACGGGUGCUUGCACCUGGUGGCGAGUGGCGAACGGGUGAGUAAUACAUCGGAACAUGUCCAGUAGUGGGGGAUAGCCCGGCGAAAGCCGGAUUAAUACCGCAUACGAUCCAUGGAUGAAAGCGGGGGACCUUCGGGCCUCGCGCUAUAUGGGGCGGCCGAUGGCGGAUUAGCUAGUUGGUGGGGUAAAGGCCCACCAAGGCGACGAUCCGUAGCUGGUCUGAGAGGACGACCAGCCACACUGGGACUGAGACACGGCCCAGACUCCUACGGGAGGCAGCAGUGGGGAAUUUUGGACAAUGGGCGAAAGCCUGAUCCAGCAAUGCCGCGUGUGUGAAGAAGGCCUUCGGGUUGUAAAGCACUUUUGUCCGGAAAGAAAUCCUUUGGGCUAAUACCCUAGG